GUAAGGGAUAUUGCACAAUGGGCGCAAGCCUGAUGCAGCAACGCCGCGUGCAUGAAGAAGGCCUUCGGGUCGUAAAGUGCUUUUCUGGCUGAAGAGGAAGGACGGUAAGCCAGGAAUAAGUGUCGGCUAACUACGUGCCAGCAGCCGCGGUAAAACGUAGGACGCAAGCGUUAUCCGGAGUUACUGGGCGUAAAGCGCGGGCAGGCGGUUCUUCAAGUUAGGCGUGAAAGCGCCCGGCUCAACCGGGCGAGGCCGUCUAAGACUGAAGAACUGGAGGACAGCAGAGGAGCGUGGAAUUCCGGGUGGAGUGGUGAAAUACGUAGAGAUCCGGAGGAACACCAGUGGCGAAGGCGGCGCUCUGGGCUGUAUCUGACGCUGAGCCGCGAAAGCAUGGGUAGCGAACGGG
rnacentral:rRNA from 1 species